rnacentral:rRNA from 1 species
CAGCAGCCGCGGGAAUACGAAGGGUGCAAGCGUUAAUCGGAAUUACUGGGCGUAAAGCGUGCGUAGGCGGUGAGUUAAGUCUGCUGUGAAACCCCCGGGCUCAACCUGGGAAUGGCAGUGGAUACUGGCUCGCUAGAGUGUGUCAGAGGAUGGUGGAAUUCCCGGUGUAGCGGUGAAAUGCGUAGAGAUCGGGAGGAACAUCAGUGGCGAAGGCGGCCAUCUGGGACAACACUGACGCUGAGGCACGAAAGCGUGGGGAGCAAACAGGAUUAGAUACCCCGGUAGUCCCUGUCUCUUAUAC